rnacentral:rRNA from 1 species
UACAGAGGUCCCAAGCGUUGUUCGGAUUCACUGGGCGUAAAGGGUGCGCAGGUGGUUUGGCAAGUUUGACGUGAAAGCCCCGGGCUUAACCCGGGAAUGGCGUUGAAAACUGCUUGAACUGGAGGGUUGGAGGGGGGACUGGAAUUCUUGGUGUAGCAGUGAAAUGCGUAGAUAUCAAGAGGAACACCAGUGGCGAAGGCGAGUCCCUGGACAAACCCUGACACUGAGGCACGAAAGCCAAGGGAGCAAACAGG